GGACUGGAAAGGAGAGGAACAAAGCUGACAGGUAUGCGCUGGAUUGCCAGGAGAAGGCGUAUUGGCUGGUGCACCGAAGCCCUCCUGGAAUGAACAAUGUGUUAGACUACGGCCUGGACCGCGUGACCAAUCCAAACGAAGUUAAGAAACAAACAGUCACUGCUGUCAGAAAGGAGGUAAUUAGUCUCCCAGUUCCAACGAAGCUUGACUUUUAAAAAUCUUCUAACAAAUUAUGUGUGCUGUGGCUCCAUGGUUCACCCUUAGUAAUGAAAUAGAAGCCAUGUGUAAUGUUC
rnacentral:lncRNA from 1 species